rnacentral:rRNA from 1 species
GAUGAACGCUGGCGGCGUGCCUAAUACAUGCAAGUAGAACGCUCAGGGAGGAGCUUGCUCUUCUGGACGAGUUGCGAACGGGUGAGUAACGCGUAGGUAACCUGCCUGUUAGCGGGGGAGAACUAUUGGAAACGAUAGCUAAUACCGCAUGACAACAGUUAUUGCAUGAUAACUGUUUAAAAGGGGCAACUGCUCCACUACCAGAUGGACGUGCGUUGUAUUAGCUAGUUGGUGAGGUAACGGCUCACCAAGGCGACGAUACAUAGCCGACCUGAGAGGGGGAACGGCCCAACUGGGACUGGGACCCCGCCCCGACUCCUACGGGAGGCAGCAGUAGGGGAUCUUCGGGCAUGGGCGGAAGUCCGAACGGGCAACGCCGGGUGAGUGAAGAAGGUUUUUGGAUCGUAAAGAUCUGUUGUAAGAGAAGAAAGAGAGUGGGAGUGGAAAGUUCACACCGUGACGGUAUCUUACCAGAAAGGGACGGCUAACUACGUG